GACGAACGCUGGCGGCGUGCUUAACACAUGCAAGUCGAGCGGAAAGGCCACUUCGGUGGUACUCGAGCGGCGAACGGGUGAGUAACACGUGAGUAAUCUGCCCCUGGCUUUGGGAUAGCCACCGGAAACGGUGAUUAAUACCGGAUACGACCACUUCUCGCAUGGGAUGGUGGUGGAAAGUUUUUUCGGCCAGGGAUGUGCUCGCGGCCUAUCAGCUUGAUGGUGAGGUAAUGGCUCACCAUGGCUUCGACGGGUAGCCGGCCUGAGAGGGUGACCGGUCACACUGGGACUGAGAGACGGCCCAGACUCGUACGGGAGGCAGCAGUGGGGAAUGUUGGACAAUGGGCGGAAGCCUGAUCCAGCAACGCCGCGUGAGGGAUGACGGCCUUCGGGUUGUAAACCUCUUUCAGCAGGGACGAAGCGCAAGUGACGGUACCUGCAGAAGAAGCACCGGCCAACUACGUGCCAGCAGCCGCCGUAA
rnacentral:rRNA from 1 species